rnacentral:rRNA from 1 species
CCACGGGCGCACGGCGGAUGCCUUGGCACAGGGAGCCGAUGAAGGACGCGGCAAGCUGCGAUAAUCCCCGGCGAGGAGCACACAUCCUUCGACCCGGGGGUCUCCGAAUGGGCGAACCCAUCCGUAGCAGUACGGAUAUCCCGACCCCGAACACAUAGGGGCCGGGAGGACAACCCGGGGAACUGAAACAUCUAAGUACCCGGAGGAGAGGAAAUCAAUCUCGAGACUCCCCGAGUAGCGGCGAGCGAAAGGGGACCGAUGGCCAAACCGUCGAGCGGGCAUACCCGGCAGGGGUUCCGCCGACGGGGUUGCAGGGCCGCGCAUCCGGGGGCUGCCGCCCCCGGGCGCAGGUCCGGCUGGGGAGCGGAACGGCAUGGGAGGGCCGGCCGCAGCGGGUGACAGCCCCGUACGCGAACCCAGACCGGACGGCGCGACGCGGUCCCUGAGUAGGGCCGGGCACGUGAAACCCGGUCCGAACCUGGGUGGACCACCAUCCAAGCCUGAGUACUACCCUGUGACCGAUAGCGCACCAGUACCGUGAGGGAAAGGUGAAAAGCACCCCGGGAGGGGAGUGAAACAGUACCUGAAACCGUGCGCCCACGAGCAGUCGGAGCACCUAUAUGGUGUGACGGCGUGCCUUUUGUAGAAUGAGCCAGCGAGUCGCUGGCGCGGGGCGAGGUUAACCGAAAGGGAGCCGGAGCGAAAGCGAGCCUUAACAGGGCGACUUGAGUCCCGCGCCGCGGACGCGAAGCCGGGUGAGCUAUCCGUGGGCAGGCUGAAGCGGGGGUAAGACCCCGUGGAGGGCCGAACGCACGUCGGUUGAAAACGGCGGCGAUGACCUGCGGAUAGGGGUGAAAGGCCAAUCAAACCCGGAGAUAUCUCGUUCUCCCCGAAAUAGCUUUAGGGCUAGCGUCGCGCGUUCACCGCCGGAGGUAGAGCACCGGAUGGACGAGGGGGCUUCGCCGCCUACCGAAUCCAACCGAACUCCGAAUGCCGGCGGCCCAGAGCGCGGCAGUCAGAGCAUGUGGGCUAAGCUGUGUGCUCGAGAGGGAAACAGCCCGGACCGCCCGCUAAGGUCCCCAAGUUCCAGCCGAGUGGCAAAGGAUGUGCGUCCGCCCAGACAACCAGGAUGUUGGCUUAGAAGCAGCCAUGCAUUCAAAGAGUGCGUAACAGCUCACUGGUCGAGUGGACAUGCGCCGACAAUACACGGGGCUAAGCUGGACACCGAAGCGGCGGGAUUUUACCUAAGUAGAAUCGGUAGGGGAGCUUCCCAUGGGCGGUGAAGCCGCCGGGCGACCGGCGGUGGAGCGCAUGGGAGUGAGAAUGCUGGCAUGAGUAGCGAGAGACGAGAGAGUAACUCGUCCGCCGUGAACCCGAGGUUUCCUGGGCAAGGCUAAUCCUCCCAGGGUCAGUCGGGGGCUAAGGCGAGGCCGGGAGGCGUAGCCGACGCGCAGCAGGCAGACAUUCCUGCACCGCGCACGCGGCGCUACGACCGACGGGGCGACGGAUGGGGGUGGCUCGGCGGGGUUCUGGACGUCCCCGUGAUGGAGCGCGGCCCGCGGACCAGGGAAAUCCGGUCCGCACGAGGGCGAGGCUCCGGACGAAGCGACUGAGCGAAGCGAGUGAGCCCGAGGUCCCUAGAAAAACCCCUAGGCAGGCGCGUGCGCGCCCGUACCGCAAACCGACACAGGUGGGUGGGUAGAACAUACCGAGGCGAUCGGGUCAACCAUGGUCAAGGAACUCGGCACAAUGGCCCCGUAACUUCGGGAGAAGGGGUGCCCGCGCGUACGUGAACGGACUUGCUCCGGGAGCGGAGGCGGGCCGCAGUGGAGAGGCCCAAGCGACUGUUUACCAAAAACACAGGACUCUGCAGAAGCCGCAAGGCGACGUAUAGGGUCUGACGCCUGCCCGGUGCCGGAAGGUCACGCGGAGGAGUUAGCCGCAAGGCGAAGCCCCGAAGCCAAGCCCCGGUAAACGGCGGCCGUAACUAUAACGGUCCUAAGGUAGCGAAAUUCCUUGUCGGGUAAGUUCCGACCUGCACGAAAGGCGCAACGACUUGGGCGCUGUCUCGACCAUGGACCCGGUGAAAUUGCACUGGUCGUGAAGAUGCGACUUACCCGCGGAAGGACGGAAAGACCCCGUGAACCUUCACUGCAGCUUGGCAUUGGCCGCUGGUCCCGCGUGUAGAGGAUAGGCAGGAGGCUAAGAUCCGGAGGCGCCAGCCCCCGGGGAGCCGCCCUUGGAAUACUGCCCUCGCGCGACCGGCGUCCUAACCCGAGGCCGUCAACCGGCUCGGGGACCGUGCCAGGCGGGCAGUUUGACUGGGGCGGUCGCCUCCUAAAGGGUAACGGAGGCGCGCGAAGGUCCGCUCGGGACGGUCGGCAACCGUCCUUUUGAAUGCAAGAGUACAAGCGGGCUUGACUGCGAGGCCCACAAGCCGAGCAGGUGCGAAAGCAGGCUCUAGUGAUCCGGCGGCCCCGAGUGGGUGGGCCGUCGCUCAACGGAUAAAAGGUACUCCGGGGAUAACAGGCUGAUCUUGCCCAAGAGUCCACAUCGACGGCAAGGUUUGGCACCUCGAUGUCGGCUCAUCGCAUCCUGGGGCUGGAGCAGGUCCCAAGGGUACGGCUGUUCGCCGUUUAAAGCGGUACGCGAGCUGGGUUCAGAACGUCGUGAGACAGUUCGGUCCCUAUCCUCCGUGGGCGCAGGAGAAUCGAUGGAGGCUGCCCCCAGUACGAGAGGACCGGGGUGGACGCACCUCCGGUGAACCGGUUGUCGACCAACGGCACGGCCGGGUAGCCGCGUGCGGCGCGGAUAACCGCUGAAGGCAUCUAAGCGGGAAGCCGUUCCAGGGAUUAGUUCUCCUUCCGGUAAGGGCCCAGGUAGACUACCUGGUCGAUAGACGGCAGGUGCAAGGACGGCGACGUCCUCAGCCGAGCCGCACUAAUCGCCCGAGCUCUUCCGGA